rnacentral:rRNA from 1 species
AACGAACGCUGGCGGCAUGCCUAACACAUGCAAGUCGAACGAUCCCUUCGGGGAUAGUGGCGCACGGGUGCGUAACGCGUGGGAACCUUCCCUUAGGUUCGGAAUAACUCAGAGAAAUUUGAGCUAAUACCGGAUAAUGUCUUCGGACCAAAGAUUUAUCGCCUUUGGAUGGGCCCGCGUUGGAUUAGCUAGUUGGUGGGGUAAAGGCCUACCAAGGCGACGAUCCAUAGCUGGUCUGAGAGGAUGAUCAGCCACACUGGGACUGAGACACGGCCCAGACUCCUACGGGAGGCAGCAGUGGGGAAUAUUGGACAAUGGGCGAAAGCCUGAUCCAGCAAGGCCGCGUGAGUGAUGAAGGCCUUAGGGUUGUAAAGCUCUUUUACCCGGGAUGAUAAUGACAGUACCGGGAGAAUAAGCCCCGGCUAACUCCGUG